AGGCCUUGUCCUGUGAGUCUCCCCACCAUGGCCUGGACAUUGCUCCUGCUCGGGGUCCUUGCUUACAGCUCAGGUGUGGAUUCUCAGACUGUGGUCACCCAGGAGCCAUCACUGUCUGUGUCUCCAGGAGGGACAGUCACACUCACCUGUGGCCUUAGCUCUGGGUCAGUCUCUAGUGAUAACUACCCUAAAUGGUUCCAGCAGACCCCAGGCAAGGUGCCCCGCACGCUCAUCUACCACACAAAUACCCGGCCGUCUGAGGUCCCUGACCGCUUCUCUGGAUCCAUCUCUUGGAACAAAGCCACCCUCACCAUCACAGGGAUCCAGCCUGAAGAUGAGGCUGACUAUUACUGCGCUCUGGCCAUGGGUAGUGGCACUCACACAGUGAUGUGA